UACGGAGGGUGCAAGCAUUAAUCGGAUUUAUUGGGCGUAAAGGGCGCGUAGGCGGGAAUAUAAGUCAGAUGUGAAAGCCCAGAGCUCAACUCUGGAACGGCAUUUGAAACUAUAUUUCUUGAGGGUAGGCGGAGAAAACGGAAUUCCACGUGUAGCGGUGAAAUGCGUAGAUAUGUGGAAGAACACCGGUGGCGAAGGCGGUUUUCUAGCUUACUCCUGACGCUGAGGCGCGAAAGCAAGGGGAGCAAACAGG
rnacentral:rRNA from 1 species